GUGGGUGGCAAGCGUUGUCCGGAAUUAUUGGGCGUAAAGCGCGCGCAGGCGGUUCUUUAAGUCUGAUGUGAAAGCCCACGGCUCAACCGUGGAGGGUCAUUGGAAACUGGAGAACUUGAGUACAGAAGAGGAAAGCGGAAUUCCACGUGUAGCGGUGAAAUGCGUAGAGAUGUGGAGGAACACCAGUGGCGAAGGCGGCUUUCUGGUCUGUAACUGACGCUGAGGCGCGAAAGCGUGGGGAGCAAACAGGGAUUAGAUACCCUGGUAGUCCACGCCGUAAACGAUGAGUGCUAAGUGUUAGGGGGGUUUCCGCCCCCUUAGUGCUGCAGCUAACGCAUUAAGCACUCCGCCUGGGGAGUACGGCCGCAAGGCUG
rnacentral:rRNA from 1 species